CCUACGGGGGCAGCAGUGAGGAAUAUUGGUCAAUGGGCGCAAGCCUGAACCAGCCAUCCCGCGUGAAGGAAGAAUGCGCUAUGCGUUGUAAACUUCUUUUCCAGGGGAAUAAAAUUUCGUACGAGUACGGGACUGAAGGUACCUUGGGAAUAAGCAUCGGCUAACUCCGUGCCAGCAGCCGCGGUAAUACGGAGGAUGCGAGCGUUAUCCGGAUUUACUGGGUUUAAAGGGUGCGUAGGCGGAAAAAUAAUUCAGUGGUGAAAACCUUCAGCUUAACUGGAGACUUGCCAUUGAUACUGUUAUUCGUGAGGAUAGUUAAGGUAGGCGGAAUGUGUAAUGUAGCGGUGAAAUGCUUAGAUAUUACACAGAACACCAAUUGCGAAGGCAGCUUACUGAUCUAUAACUGACGCUGAUGCACGAAAGCGUGGGGAGCGAACA
rnacentral:rRNA from 1 species